CGUCGUCAGCAUACCCUGUGAAGGAAACAUAGUAAGCAAAAUUGGUAGAACCCAAAACGCCAGGUCGAGGUGUAGCACACGAAAAGGAAAGAAAUGGGCUACAUUUCCUCUUACAGGAAAUACGAAUUGUGUCAUGAAACAACACAUGAAGGAGGAUUUAGCAGUAAGCAGAAAACAGAGUGUUCUACUGAACCCGGCCCUGAAGCACGCACACACCGCCCGUCACCCUCCCCAAAUCAAAAUACACCUGUAUUUAAAAACUUAAAGAAACUAAAGGGGAGGUAAGUCGUAACAUGG
rnacentral:rRNA from 1 species